rnacentral:rRNA from 1 species
GACGAACGCUGGCGGCGUGCUUAACACAUGCAAGUCGAGCGGUAAGGCCCUUUCGGGGGUACACGAGCGGCGAACGGGUGAGUAACACGUGGGUGACCUGCCCUCAGCUCUGGGAUAAGCCUGGGAAACCGGGUCGUAAUACCGGAUAUGACUCCAUGACGCAUGUUGUGGGGUGGAAAGCCUUGUGCGGCUGAGGAUGGGCCCGCGGCCUAUCAGCUUGUUGGUGGGGUGAUGGCCUACCAAGGCGACGACGGGUAGCCGGCCUGAGAGGGCGACCGGCCACACUGGGACUGAGACACGGCCCAGACUCCUACGGGAGGCAGCAGUGGGGAAUCUUGCGCAAUGGCGAAAGCCUGACGCAGCGACGCCGCGUGA